rnacentral:lncRNA from 1 species
ACUUCCUUUCCUUUAGCUUUGGUUCUGUCUUUGCAUAGACAAUACCUUAGUUUCUUAAGACAAGCUCUGUCCUUAGAUUCAUAACAUGACUUCAAAUUUUAAAUUUACAUUGCCAGAGUCUUCAUUUUUUCCUAAUUGUGAAAUUGAAUUUAGAAUUUUAAUGUUAGGGUAUCCACUUUAGAAAAUUAACAUAGACUAGAUUAUACAUUAUCAGUUAUAAAUAUAUUGUGGCAUUAAGAGCUUUAAUUAACUUGCAUGUUUGCUUAAUAGACAUUUUUAAAGAAAGCAGAUUUAUAUCUUCUUGUUAAGUGUGACAUUCUUAAUUUUAGCAAAACCCAGAAAUCUCUUAGUAAAUGAUGCUUAGGAAAGACUGGUAAGUGUAUAUUUGUGUACAUUAAAUUACCUUUGACUUUUGACAUUUUAUUUAUUAGGGAAAAGAAUUAAGUUGAAAUACUAUUUUGUAUGUACUUUUUACAAAACAUAUCUUCUGUAGGGUGCAAUAGUGAAAAUAUUUCAUUAAAAUAGCCAUGAGACCAUUUUCCUCUGUCAAUUUGACAGGUGUUUAAGUAAGAUGAUCCUAAAGUAGUAGAUAUUACGACACCUUGCAUUGCUGGUAUAAAAGUAUAAAUUUGCUCACUAUAUAGAGAAUAGUUUGGUAGUUGCUAAAAAAAAAAAAAACUUUAUGCCCCUUUAUGCAGUAACUAUGUUUGCAUGUCCCCACAAAGUAUGUCAUUUUUAAAAUGUGCUUUUAAGUACAUAAGAGUAUUUAAAUUUAAAAAUAAAGUUCACACAAAAGUGAUUUCACCUAGCUUCAAAUGGUAUGGUAAGGCAAAUUUUUGUAGUUCCUUUUAAUAAGUGGAAUGUGAGGCACAAAAAAAACUACAUUGUCCUUUGUGAGAAUUGAAUUUCAAAGUAGGAUUUAGUAAUAGGUACUUCAAAUAGUACUGAAAAUGAAAUUGCAGGUGUAGAUAAUAUACUUUGGUGUUGUGUAUAAUAACAACUUUUGAAAUAGGUGGCAGAUGCUUCUAUGAUCCUUCUGAAUUGCAUCUACUUUGAAUUUCUAAAGGUUAGCAUUUCCGAUUCAGGGCUGGAGCGAUGACUCAGUGGUUAAGAGUAUGUACUGCUGUUCUAGAGGCUCUUAGUUCAGAUCUCAGUAUCAUGGCCAGUACCUGUAACUUCAGCUCCAGGAGACCCAACACCUACUCCUGGCCUCUGCAGACACUUACACGUGCAUGAGCUCAUAUAUUCACAUAGAUAAAUUCACAAACACAUACUUAAAAUAAUAAAUCUUCAAAAAGUCUUACAGUUUACUUAGAGUUAGGAUCAAAAGAAUAUCUAGCAGUGUGUGUAUAUAUGCGCGUGCACACGUGUGUGCAUGCUUCUUAGUCAUUGUUUUGUGGUUUCCCUAGGAGUAAACUUUCCUGCUUUUGUACAAUGCAGAGGAUUAAGCCUAGAUCUUUCACAUACCUGCACGUUAUACUACUAAACUACCUUUCAACACUGUAGUUUUAAAGGGAAGUGAAGACUAUGACUAUAAAAAAAUGACUAAAUGUCAUAUUUUGAAGCCUAAUAUUUACAUUAAACCAUGCAUCUAGAAGUCAUUGAUAAACAUGAAUAUGAUUAGUAAUUAGCUGAAUAGUAUUAAUAUAAUACAUGUACAUAAAGUUCACUGAACACAGACAUUUGAGUCCUGAAAUUUUAGCUUCUUGCUUACUUAGAAAUUUGCCAUCUACAAACUUUAGGGAGCUACCAAAUGGAAUUUCACCUUUAAAAACAUUUCUUUUAAUGUGGUUUGCCUGCAUGAAUGCGUAUGUACAGCACAUGCAUGCCUGCUGCCCUCACAAGUCAGAAGAGGGCUUUGGAUCGGUUAUAAGCUACCCAAUGGGUGUUAGGAAUUGAACCUGGUUCCUCUGUAAAAGCAACAAGUGCUGUUUACCACUGAGCCAUCUUAGCCCACAAUUUUAUUUUUUGUUUAUUAAAAAAGCCAAAAAAGAGGAAGGGCAUUGUUUUUCUCUGAAAAGUAAAUGUCACCUGAAAGAGCAGGUUUGUGGAGAACUUGGGUUUCUUCAGUUUUUAAAACAUUUGAAAUUGAUUUUUUAAAAAACCAUUAUAUUUUUGUAAUAUUAAGGUGAACAAACAUUCUUUAAAUAGCUCAGCAAUAUCAAAUCCUAUAUAAAUCAAAGGUAUAUUUUAUAGCUAUGUGGAUAUUUUCAUCUAGUAAGAGGAAUCUUAAAGCUGAGGGAGCAAGUAACAUUUCUGAAAUUUGUGAUUAUUAUUUGUCAGUAUUGCACACAGUUGCACAUAGAAACAUUUACUCCGGUUUUACCCUAGAUUAUUCCAUUAUAAAAUUGAUUUGGCUAUGAAAUAGUACAUAGAAAUGAUGUCUGAACUUGAUAUUUUUCUGACUAAGAUAAAGUAGGAGUAAAUGGUCUCCUUUGUGAGGUAUCCAUUCUCUGUUUGGUAUGUGGCAUUCAGUAUUCUUUACUGAUUUCUAAAGAAAUGUUUACAUGAAAAUACUACUUUCAAAGCACAGAGCUUGUUGUUUUGGUAUAAUGAAUACCAAUUUAAUAAUUUUUAGGAGGAAUGUAUUUUCAUCUACUCAUUUCUGGUGCAGUUUUAAAGGUUUUAAACUUGUCUUGAUAGUUUGACAGGCAAUUCCUUGAGUCUUUGUAGAAGUUAUUGAAGUAGUACAGACUUUGGAGAAUAUUUUUUAACUUACAAUGAACUCAUAUAAGUUACUCAUAUUUUUAGGAAUAUGGGCUAAAAAACAAACUAAAAUAUAGAAAGAUUUAUUCCUUAAUAUUUUCAGUAUAGUGUCUUACAUAUUGGAACAAAAUACUUCAUUUGUAGAAAGGGAAGAGCUUACUCUUGUGCUAAGCUACAGUUAGUUGUAAGGAGUUCCCUUGUUCAGCACCAAUGGCAUAGUUAAGUAAAUUAGCCACUUCUUCAGUUUUGAGGAAGUGGAGUACUAAUGUUGUUACAGUACAACUUUUUCUAUGAACUAUAUGAUCUUAAAAUUUAAAGAAAUC